rnacentral:ncRNA from 1 species
UAAAAGUUUUAUUUUGGUUUUAUAUUUAAUUAAUUAAUUUAUAUAUAUGUAAAUUUUAGUGAAAAGAUUAUUUAAAAAAUAAUUAAUUACAGCAGUAUAAAAUUUUAAAUAUUAAAUAAUUUUAGAUUUAGAAAUUUAAUUUAGUAUAGACAAAAUUUGUGCCAGCAGUUGCGGUUAUACAAAUUAUGCAAAUUAAAUUUAUUUAAUGUAAUUAAAUAAUUUAUUUAUAAUUUAUAUUUAGAUUUUUUAGGUGAAAUUUUAAAUUUAAACUAAAUUAUUUUAUUUUAUUUGAAGUUACGAAAUUUAGUAUUAAACUAGGAUUAGAUACCCUAUUAUUUUAAAUGUAAAUUAUUAAAUUAAAAUUAUUAAAAGUUAAGUUCUUUAAAGUUAAAAAUUUUGGCGGUAUUUUAGUCUUUUCAGAGGAACCUGUUCUAUAAUUGAUGAUCCACGAUUAAAGUUACUUUAUUUAGAAAUUUAUAUAUCGCUGUAGAUUGAAUAUUUUAUAAGAAUUUAAAUAUUCAAAACUUAUAAUUAUAAGAGAAUUCAAGUCAAGGUGUAGUUUAUAAUAAAGAAAGAAUGGGUUACAUUAUAAUUUAUAUUUGGUUAUAAUAUUAAAAAUUUUAUAUAAAUUGGAUUUGAAAGUAAUAUUUUAAAUUUAUAAAAUAUGAUUUUGCUCUAAAAUAUGCACAUAUCGCCCGUCGCUUUCGUUAUAAAAUGAAAUAAGUCGUAACAAAGUAGACUUAUUGGAAAAUGUGUCUAGAAUGAC